rnacentral:rRNA from 1 species
AUGCUUAACACAUGCAAGUCGACCGGUAACAGAUAAGAUGAUCUCUUCGGAGUGAAUCUUUGCUGACGAGUGGCGGACGGGUGAGUAAUGCUUGGGAAUCUGCCCAAUAGUGGGGGAAAACUCGGGGAAACCCGGGCUAAUACCGCAUAAUCUCUACGGAGGAAAGAGGGCCUCUACAUGUAAGCUCUCGCUAAUGGAUGAGCCCAAGUCAGAUUAGCUUGUUGGUAAGGUAAUGGCUUACCAAGGCUACGAUCUGUAGCUGGUCUGAGAGGAUGAUCAGCCACACUGGGACUGAGACACGGCCCAGACUCCUACGGGAGGCAGCAGUGGGGAAUAUUGCACAAUGGGCGCAAGCCUGAUGCAGCAAUGCCGCGUGUGUGAAGAAGGCUCUAGGGUUGUAAAGCACUUUCAAUAGAGAAGAAAAGCUUGAGGUUAAUACCUUCAAGCCUUGACGUAACCUAUACAAGAAGCACCGGCUAAUUCCGUGCCAGCAGCCGCGGUAAUACGGAAGGUGCGAGCGUUAAUCGGAAUUACUGGGCGUAAAGCGAGCGUAGGCUGUUAAUUAAGUCGAAUGUGAAAUCCCCGGGCUCAACCUGGGAACUGCAUUCGAAACUAUUUGACUAGAGUAUGGGAGAGGAAAGUAGAAUUUCCGGUGUAGCGGUGAAAUGCGUAGAUAUCGGAAGGAACACCAGUGG